CUCUGGGCCGAUAGGACGCUCAGGGCGGAAAGAG
rnacentral:ncRNA from 1 species